AAUAUAUAAUCACUCGAUUAUAUAUUUAUUUACAGAUGAUUUCCAAAGCAGAUUAAGUUGUAACAGGAGGAUCAACAGUACCUUCCUCUACAAUUGCUGAACAAGCCCAGCACCUUCAACCUGUCUUUGUAGGAGAGGUGCUCCAGUCCUCUGAUCAUCUUAGUGGCCCUCCUUUGGACUCUCUCCAAUAGCUCCACAUCUUCCCUGUACUGGGGCCCCAGAUCUGGUUGCAGUACUCAGGAGGGGAGAAUAGAGAGGGACGACUACUUCCCUGUCCCUGCUGGCUAUCCCUCUUCUGAUGGAGCCCAGGAAACAGUUGGCCUUCCAAGCUGCAAGAGCACACUGCUGGCUCAUGUUCAGUUUAUCAUCCACCAGGACCCAAAGGUCCUUCUCCACAGUGUAACAAGCUGGAGCUCUCAAGAAAACAGAUUUUCAGCUUAGAAACUCUUGAAAAGUUACAAGAUUAUAUGCAGUGUUAUUGCAUAUUGUUACUUUGUAGAAUAAAGUUUCCAAUGUCAAUUUUUAAUUGUAUCUCACAGUUCAAGCUCUACAUGUUGUAACUACAAGCAUAUCUUAGUCACAGAAUCAGCAAGGUUGGAAAAGACCUCCAAGAUCAUCUAGUUGAACUAUCAAAUCAUCAUCUUCAGAUGACUGAUGCUUUCAGCAAAGGUUCCUGUUGAAUACUCAAGGAUAACAAACUGAAAAUAUGUAAAGAAAAAGGAAUAUUGAAAAAAAAAAAAGUGUUUCUAUCCUCAACUAUAUUUGAAAUAAUUUCUUCCUUUGAAAUGGAAUCAGUGUCAUAUGAGGAAAACCCUUCCUGACAUUUCUUUGAAACGGAAAAGGGAGGGGAGGAGAGGAGAGCCAAUUUACUAAAAUGAAAAUUGUUUUAGUGUUCUCAGGUUCUGAUGUGUUCUGGUGGAAGCCCCCCUUUCGACAGAAUGAUGACUCCUGCUCAGGACAAAGCAGUUUGUCAAGUUGUAACUCCAGGAAGUUCGUAACUAAGCAAUAGGUCAGCUGUUGAAAAGUUCAGAUCUAAAGAUGCUCAUUUGGGAAACUUCUGACAAGAAGUUCUCUGAGGCCUGCUCAGCCUACACAGAAGAAUCUAUCAAGAGAAACCUUCAAGUCUCACAGAGGAGGAGAUAUUUAUGUGGUCUAUAUGGUCAAAUAUAUAUAUGUAUAUCGAAUUCUGUGAUCAGAUCAGAAAGCCAACUGUAUCCUCGGUUGCAUCAAGAGAAGAGUGACCAGCAGGUUGAAGGAUGUGAUUCUGUCCCUCUACUCUGCUCCACCUGGAAUACUGCAUCCAGUUCUGGAGCCCCCAACACAAGGAGGACAUGGAGUUGUUGAAGCAAGUCCAGAGAGCUGGCUAGCGUGUAAAACACUCUACAACACUCUGCAAAGAGUGUAAAAUGCUGCAAAACAGCCUAAUCUCUACUGUAGCAUUCUGCUUUGAUAUUGAUGAUAACUUGAUGAAGUAACACAUGAAAAACUGUUCCAGAAAGUGCAAGAGAGGAAGAAAGAAGAAACAAAGACAACAUACUUCUUUUUCCCUCAAAAAUCAGGGGACGAAUUCACUCUGGACCUCAGGUUAAGUUAUGAAGGAUCUGGCACCAACUGGGUAUCUUUGAGGCAACAUGAGCAACUGGAAGCACUUACUGCAUUCAAACUUGUCAGUUUUUCACCUGUGGUAUUUUCUGGUCAGGUCAAGAAGUGCUUUCAGUGGAACUACAACAUCUAGAACAAAAAUUUGACACAGGUUGCCCUCAAGGCACUCACUGAUCUGAAGGGGUAAAGCAUGAGCACUGUAACAAAGAAUCUGAAGAAAGACCCUAGAGAAGGUGAAGAUGGGACUAGAGAAGAAGAGGCUCCAUUGUACUCAACAGCUGCAUAAAAAGUUUUCUAUCAAUAGCCCUAACAGGGAAAGUGAGCUAUCAGGUGCACAGGUCUAGAGAAGCUAAGGAAUUUAUGGUAGAUAUAUCUAGAUUUCCAUAAUUAGGCUCUCAUUAAGUACCUAUAUCUUAAUCAGAUAUAAAACCCAGUAUAUCCAUGACUUUAUCCAGUCCCUUGAGCACAGAUGGACAGUAGAACUGACCUCCUAGUUUUGUAAAAUGACAAAAGUAUCAAAAUGCAUUAAAUUCUUAUUACUUCAUCAGGCCACACCAACCAUACUCUUCUCAAAAUAACAUUAAAUCCUACUUAUGGUUACCCAGUAGGUCUGCGUGCAAUUGCCUUGCUCAUUUGGAUGUAUCAGCUUCUUUCUAACAGCAGCUUGUUGAUCUUUAGGAAAUUUUAGCUGCAAGUAUGCAAAUCUGCUAUACUGAUCUAAAUAUUUCCUCUUCUUUUCACCUAAUAAAAUAGAAACACAU
ensembl:lncRNA